AGUGGCGCACGGGUGAGUAACACAUGGCUGACCUGCCCUUCAGAGGGGGACAACCACUAGAAAUGGUGGCUAAUACCCCAUAUGCUCACGGGAUUUAGAAACUUGUGAGGAAAAGCUCCGGCGCUGAAGGAGGGGGCUGUGGCCCAUCAGCUAGUUGGUGUGGUAACGGCGCACCAAGGCGAGGACGGGUAGGGGGCCUGAGAGGGUGACCCCCCACACGGGUACUGAGACACGGACCCG
rnacentral:rRNA from 1 species